ACCCCGGUAGUGUAUUGGUAGCACGCGCCCGGUAUGCACGAAACGCGGGUUCGACUUCCGCCUGAGGCC